GACGAACGCUAGCGGCGUGCUUAACACAUGCAAGUCGAACGGAGUGGCGAACGGGUGAGUAACACGUGGGUGAUCUGCCUUGCACUUCGGGAUAAGCUUGGGAAACUGGGUCUAAUCCCGGAUCGUGCACGAUGCGCUCGCGGCCUAUCAGCUUGUUGGUGGGGUAAUGGCCUACCAAGGCGUCGACGGGUAGCCGGCCUGAGAGGGUGUACGGGAACAUUGGGACUGAGAGAGGGCCCAGAGUCGUACGGGAGGCAGUAGUGGGGAAUAUGGCACAAUGGGCGGAAGCCUGAUGCAGCGACGCCGGGUGGGGGAUGAAGGCCUGCGGGUUGUAAACUCCUUUCGACAGGGACGCGGUACCUGUAUAAGAAGCACCGGCUAACUACGUGCCAGCAGCCGCGGUAAUAC
rnacentral:rRNA from 1 species